rnacentral:rRNA from 1 species
UACGUAGGUGGCAAGCGUUGUCCGGAUUUACUGGGUGUAAAGGGCGUGCAGCCGGAGAGACAAGUCAGAUGUGAAAUCCACGGGCUCAACCCGUGAACUGCAUUUGAAACUGUUUCCCUUGAGUGUCGGAGAGGUAAUCGGAAUUCCUUGUGUAGCGGUGAAAUGCGUAGAUAUAAGGAAGAACACCAGUGGCGAAGGCGGAUUACUGGACGAUAACUGGCGGUGAGGCGCGAAAGCGUGGGGAGCAAACAGG